rnacentral:rRNA from 1 species
UGGCGAACGGGUGAGUAACACGUGGGUAACCUGCCCAUCAGAAGGGGAUAACACUUGGAAACAGGUGCUAAUACCGUAUAACACUAUUUUCCGCAUGGAAGAAAGUUGAAAGGCGCUUUUGCGUCACUGAUGGAUGGACCCGCGGUGCAUUAGCUAGUUGGUGAGGUAACGGCUCACCAAGGCAACGAUGCAUAGCCGACCUGAGAGGGUGAUCGGCCACACUGGGACUGAGACACGGCCCAGACUCCUACGGGAGGCAGCAGUAGGGAAUCUUCGGCAAUGGACGAAAGUCUGACCGAGCAAACGCCGCGUGAGUGAAGAAGGUUUUCGGAUCGUAAAAACUCUGUU